UUCGGUCCCCGGUAAAGUGGCGCACGGGUGAGUAACACGUAGGUAACCUACCCCUGGGCGGGGGAUAACGUUCCGAAAGGAGCGCUAAUACCGCGUAAGACCACGUCCUGAAAUGGAUGAGGUAAAAGCGGGCCUCUACAUGUAAGCUCGCGCCUGGGGAUGGGCCUGCGGCCCAUCAGGUUGUUGGUGGGGUAACGGCCUACCAAGCCUAAGACGGGUAGCUGGUCUGAGAGGAUGAUCAGCCACACUGGAACUGAGACACGGUCCAGACUCCUACGGGAGGCAGCAGUGGGGAAUCUUGCGCAAUGGGCGAAAGCCUGACGCAGCGACGCCGCGUGAGUGAUGAAGGCCUUAGGGUUGUAAAGCUCUGUGGAGGGGGACGAAUAAGUUGUAGCCAAUACCUGCAGCGAUGACGGUACCUCCUUAGCAAGCACCGGCUAACUCUGUGCCAGCAGCCGCGGUAAGACAGAGGGUGCAAACGUUGUUCGGAAUUACUGGGCGUAAAGCGCGUGUAGGCUGCUGCGCAAGUCGGGUGUGAAAUCCCGGGGCUCAACCCCGGACGUGCAUUCGAAACUGCGUAGCUAGAGUCUCGGAGAGGGAAGCGGAAUUCUGGGUGUAGAGGUGAAAUUCGUAGAUAUCCAGAGGAACACCGGUGGCGAA
rnacentral:rRNA from 1 species